rnacentral:snRNA from 1 species
AUGGCGCUUAAGCGCGCGACC